GUAACGGCGAGUGAAGCGGCAACAGCUCAAAUUUGAAAUCUGGCCCCCCCGACCGCGGGGGCCCGAGUUGUAAUUUGCAGAGGAUGCUUUCGGCGCGGCGCCUUCCGAGUUCCCUGGAACGGGACGCCACAGAGGGUGAGAGCCCCGUACGGUCGGACGCCCAGCCACUGUAAAGCUCCCUCGACGAGUCGAGUAGUUUGGGAAUGCUGCUCUAAACGGGAGGUAUAUGUCUUCUAAAGCUAAAUACUGGCCAGAGACCGAUAGCGCACAAGUAGAGUGAUCGAAAGAUGAAAAGCACUUUGGAAAGAGAGUUAAACAGCACGUGAAAUUGUUGAAAGGGAAGCGCUCGAGACCAGACUUGGGCCCGGGGGAUCAUCCGGCGUUCUCGCCGGUGCACUCCGCCGGGCCCAGGCCAGCAUCAGUUCGCCGCGGGGGACAAAGGCGCCGGGAACGUGGCUCCCCACGGGGAGUGUUAUAGCCCGGCGCGCAAUGCCCCGCGCGCGGACUGAGGCACGCGCUCCGCAAGGAUGCUGGCGUAAUGGUCCCCAGCGACCCGUCUUGAAACACGGACCAAGGAGUCGUCCUCGUAUGCGAGUGUUCGGGCGUCAAACCCCUACGCGUAAUGAAAGUGAGCGCAGGUGAGAGCUUCGGCGCACCACCGACCGAUCCCGAUGGCCCGCCCGGACGGAUUUGAGUAGGAGCAUACGGGGCCGGACCCGAAAGAAGGUGAACUAUGCCUGUAUAGGGUGAAGCCAGAGGAAACUCUGGUGGAGGCUCGCAGCGGUUCUGACGUGCAAAUCGAUCGUCAAAUAUGGGCAUGGGGGCGAA
rnacentral:rRNA from 1 species